CACACCUCUGCUGAGCAGUGAGACCGCUGUCAACAAACUUCCAAGAGAUUAAUGGCUGCGGCAAUUAAUGAAGCCAAGCCAAGCCAAGCAGCGACCGGAGCCCCUAGGAGACACUCCCCAUCCCCGUCCCCAUUCCAUCCCCGUCCCCUGUUCGAUUCCAGCCCCGGCAGUCGAUCCCCAUUCCAACCCAUUCCUACACUCCUCGACCUCGAGCAGCAGCGACCAUGUCGUUCAAGGAGAGGCUGCACAAUCUGUGCCAGCAGCGGCGGUGGGGGAAGCCGGAGUACACCGACCAGCGCGAGGGCCCGCAGCACGUGCCCACGUUCCGCGCCACCGUGGCCGUCAACGGCGCCGAGUUCCGCUCGCCAGACGGGCCCGGGUCCGGCUCCCGCACGGUCAAGCAGGCGCUGGACCUCGCCGCCAAGGCCGCCUUCGAGAGCCUCUCCGCUCCACCCACGCCUCCCCUGGCCCCGGUGAGUGUAUGCGCCAGAUGCAUUCCCUAGCUAGGGUUAGGGUGCAUCCGAUCUAUCCGAUCCGGUGAGCCAACUCCAUCUUCUUUGUUAUUACACUACUAUACUAUGCAACUGGUCUCAGCGCUUCUUCUUGUCGGAAGGAAUCCCACCGAGACUUCAGAUUUUGUUCAAAGAUUUUAGGGGUCCACAUUAGGUGCAUUUUGUUGAUUCCCUCGCUCUUUUAGGGGUCCACAUGCCUCGCUCUUUUUCUUCCUGAUGAAUUCGUUCUCUGUUUGUCUGAAGUUUUAGUUCAGCUAGCACGUCCACACAGCAUCUGCUCUUAGGAUUCGGGCUGCUUAUGAUGAGUAGAGCAUUUGCACAUCUGUUGACACAGAAAAAUUCUUGGAAAUUGAUCCUUUCCUUUUUCUUUUCUGUUAUCUUGAAUUCUUGAUUGUCCUUUACUACUUGUGUAGUUAUAUCAUGCAUCCCCUUGUACCUAAAAUUGUUUUUAUUCCAUCGAUCAUGCCGUUGUCAUGUUUCUGCUAUAUCUGUUGUACUCACUACUUUUUGUACUGCAGAAACGCAACUUCCUUACAAGUCUCAUUUGCAAGAUUAUGCUCUGAAGAUACACAAAUGUUUGCCUUCAUAUCACACCAUUCUGAGUGGUCCACCUCAUGCACCUCUGUUCAAGUCAACAGUGACCAUAGCUGGGCGAACAUUUGACUGUCCGCAAGACUACGGCAGAAAAAAGGAGGCAGAAUCCACUGCGGCAAGAGUUGCCUUCCUCUCAUUAACUCAAGAAGCAAAACCAUCAGAGCAAAUGCUGCUGAUAACUAUGUUGGCUCUGGUAUUCAUCUUCCUGUCGCUGAAACAAAAGCUCUUGACGAUCCUAUCCAAUCUGUUGAGGUGCAACAUGAUAAACCAGCUACUCCGGAACAAAGCAUUACGGCUGAAAUAAAGGACUUGGUGAAGAAGUUGCUCCCGUUGGUCUCGGCACUACCAACCAAUACUUGCAGCAUUGCGGCAACAAGUACAGAGCCAAGCGCCGACGCGGCGACAGCAGCAACUGCGAUGCCUGUUACUGGUGCUGGAUGCGGCUGCUCAAAGCCAACUGUCCAAAUUCAGGUCUACCGAUGCCAUCCUGAACUGGUGUUGCCAGAAGGGGCAGCGGAGCUCUCCUUUAGCAAUGACGAGUGGGUGGCCGUGAGCCUACCCCCCCAUCAACCCUGAAGUGUCCAGAUUCUAUAUGCAGGUAUAGUGUUGCAGCUUAGGUCCCUAGGAAAUGCAGCCAAUGCACCGGUCAAGCAUGUUGUACCUUCCAAGGCCUCUUGUGUUGUGCUAGUAAGCUAGUCAAACAUCACUGUAGUAUGUGCCUCUUCGAUUCGACAUGCAUGGUUAAGGUGACUGGUGUGUACUUGGUCAACUAUCUCACUAGCUAAACCUGGAUUAUGUAUGUUGUCACCAAGUUGUCACUUUGAACUUACAAGACUGCAACUUUAUUUAUUGGCACUAUUUGGAGGUUUUGAUCUACAGUAUCCUCCGGUGCUGAUAUGGAUCUCUCUGUUUAGAGGGCCUCCAGUGCUGAUAUGUCGGCAGGCCUUUGCCUGUAUUUUUAUUUUUUUUGCCCCAUUUUUCUCUAUUUUGCAUCCCUAGUGCUCUCUGCGGCACAUUUUUA